rnacentral:rRNA from 1 species
CCCUUAGAUGUUCUGGGCCGCACGCGCGCUACAUUGUUCGACGCAGCGAGUCUUAACCUUGACCGAAAGGUUUGGGUAAUCUUCAGCAAAGUCGAACGUGAUGGGGAUCGAUCAUUGCAAUUAUUGAUCGUGAACGAGGAAUUCCUAGUAAGUGCAAGUCAUCAGCUUGCGCUGAUUACGUCCCUGCCCUUUGUACACACCGCCCGUCGCUACUACCGAUUGAAUGGUUUAGUGAGAUCUCUGGAUUGACGCUGGCUAGGGGGCGACCCUUGGCCAGGCUGUCGAGAAACUGCUCAAACUUGAUCAUUUAGAGGAAGUAAAAGUCGUAACA